rnacentral:rRNA from 1 species
UACGUAGGGGGCAAGCGUUGUCCGGAUUCAUUGGGCGUAAAGAGCGUGUAGGCGGCCAUGUAGGUCGGUUGUGAAAACUGGAGGCUCAACCUUCAGAGGUCGACCGAAACCAUCUGGCUAGAGUCCGGGAGAGGAGAGUGGAAUUCCUGGUGUAGCGGUGAAAUGCGCAGAUAUCAGGAGGAACACCGGUGGCGAAGGCGGGUCUCUGGGCCGAUAUUGACGCUGAGGAGCGAAAGCGUGGGGAGCGAACAGG